ACGCACGCUGGCGGCGUGCUUAACACAUGCAAGUCGCACGAUGAUCAGGAGCUUGCUCCUGUGAUUAGUGGCGAACGGGUGAGUAACACGUGAGUAACCUGCCCCUGACUCUGGGAUAAGCGUUGGAAACGACGUCUAAUACUGGAUAUGAUCACUGGCCGCAUGGUCUGGUGGUGGAAAGAUUUUUUGGUUGGGGAUGGACUCGCGGCCUAUCAGCUUGUUGGUGAGGUAAUGGCUCACCAAGGCGACGACGGGUAGCCGGCCUGAGAGGGUGACCGGCCACACUGGGACUGAGACACGGCCCAGACUCCUACGGGAGGCAGCAGUGGGGAAUAUUGCACAAUGGGCGAAAGCCUGAUGCAGCAACGCCGCGUGAGGGAUGACGGCCUUCGGGUUGUAAACCUCUUUUAGUAGGGAAGAAGCGAAAGUGACGGUACCUGCAGAAAAAGCACCGGCUAACUACGUG
rnacentral:rRNA from 1 species